UGGCCUUUUUGCCCUAUAAAUUUACCCAUUUGCCCUCCCUUCAAAUCUGAAAAUAUCUCUUCCGUUAUUCCUAGAUCAUUCCAGACGCGAAGAGAGAGAAAGGGAGGUGCUCUAUUUUUCUUUGUUCCUUCGUUCUUCUUCUGAUUUUUGCCUCCUCCUCUUCGAUUUUCGGUCACCACCAACGAGUACUGUCACCGUUUCUUCCGUCCGCCGUUGAUAAAUGCUGGAGAUUCGUUUGUAGCUGCUGAAUGUUGACAAGAAAUCAUUUCGUUCUUCUCCGUUUCAAGUUUACUGUGUACGUCUUGUGAGGUACAGAUUGUGGAUCCAUUUUUCCUUGUCUUACUGUUCAUUUUUCUGGUUCUGAUCUUGAUUAGCAAUGCUUUCCCCUCCUCUGUUCUUGUUGCCGUGAGGAGUGCGUCGGGUCUUCUUCAUCAUUCACUCGGUGUAGCACAUUCGACCUCCUAUUCUCUCCUCUUUGUUCAUGUUUUUGUUAUGAUAGUGUAGCUGAUGCUGAAUCACCUGUUGAAUGCUGAGGAGUUAUGAAUGACUAGACAUGGAGGAGUUAACGAUUAAACUUUCUCUUGAUGUAAAGUUUUAAUUAUGAAAUUUUAUUUUGUAAACUUUUUGUUAGGUGCUCUACAUAGUCUGUAGUUAGAUUAUUUAUGUUUGUAUAUAUAUUUUGGUUUACUAGCUGGAAGGAGCUCUGCUCCUAAUUGACUUGAUAUUUUUUGAUUGAGAUAUGGUAUUGUAGAAUUUUUGAGAGAUCCUAUUUAAUAGAGGAGGUUUUGUCGAAA